GUGUCAGCAGCCGCGGUAAUACAGAGGUCCCAAGCGUUGUUCGGAUUCACUGGGCGUAAAGGGUGCGUAGGCGGUCGGGUAAGUUUGAUGUGAAAUCUCUGGGCUUAACCCAGAAAUGGCAUUGAAUACUAUUCGGCUAGAGAGUCGGAGGGGGGACUGGAAUACUUGGUGUAGCAGUGAAAUGCGUAGAUAUCAAGUGGAACACCAGUGGCGAAGGCGAGUCCCUGGACGAUUUCUGACGCUGAGGCACGAAAGCUAGGGGAGCAAACAGGAUUAGAUACCCCGGUAGUCC
rnacentral:rRNA from 1 species